rnacentral:rRNA from 1 species
UGCAAGUCGAACGAUGAACCACUUCGGUGGGGAUUAGUGGCGAACGGGUGAGUAACACGUGGGCAAUCUGCCCUGCACUCUGGGACAAGCCCUGGAAACGGGGUCUAAUACCGGAUACUGACCCUCACGGGCAUCUGUGAGGUUCGAAAGCUCCGGCGGUGCAGGAUGAGCCCGCGGCCUAUCAGCUUGUUGGUGAGGUAAUGGCUCACCAAGGCGACGACGGGUAGCCGGCCUGAGAGGGCGACCGGCCACACUGGGACUGAGACACGGCCCAGACUCCUACGGGAGGCAGCAGUGGGGAAUAUUGCACAAUGGGCGAAAGCCUGAUGCAGCGACGCCGCGUGAGGGAUGACGGCCUUCGGGUUGUAAACCUCUUUCAGCAGGGAAGAAGCGAAAGUGACGGUACCUGCAGAAGAAGCGCCGGCUAACUACGUGCCAGCAGCCGCGGUAAUACGUAGGGCGCGAGCGUUGUCCGGAAUUAUUGGGCGUAAAGAGCUCGUAGGCGGCUUGUCACGUCGGUUGUGAAAGCCCGGGGCUUAACCCCGGGUCUGCAGUCGAUACGGGCAGGCUAGAGUUCGGUAGGGGAGAUCGGAAUUCCUGGUGUAGCGGUGAAAUGCGCAGAUAUCAGGAGGAACACCGGUGGCGAAGGCGGAUCUCUGGGCCGAUACUGACGCUGAGGAGCGAAAGCGUGGGGAGCGAACAGGAUUAGAUACCCUGGUAGUCCACGCCGUAAACGGUGGGCACUAGGUGUG